CGCUCGGGCGCUUUUCCUCCAGGAAGCCAAGCCGCUGCGGUGCGCUUUGGCUACCUGGGAGGGAAAGGGGAAGGAAAUUCUCUCUACCCCCCGGCUUUCUCUUCCCUUCCCCCCAUUUGGGAAACGAGUAGAGGUAUUGAAAUUUAAAGGAGAUUUUCAAAGGCCGCUGUCGAAGGAUGCUAAUAGGAGUUGCAAGACAGACGCAUUAGGAAGAGGGAAUUUCCCACGGAAAGCUUUGUAAUGAGCUAACGAGACGCGUUCCCCCACCUCACCUUUGGAGGGGAGGGGAAAACAGAGCUUGAAUUACGCAUUUAAUUUCCCCUGCGCUCGUUCCCAAAUGGGAAAAGCUGAUGGGUCUCGAUAGGAUCGGGAUUUCUGGUUUCAAGGUUUAACGUUGUGCGCGCUCCCCUGCUUGCAGACCCCGCAGCUACUCCCACCGCACAUCCUCUCGCCGGUCUUCGCGUCUGCGUCUCCCUCCCGCUGUUGGCGCGUUGCUUCGGUUUAUCCAGGUCUCCAACUCGCCCAAUACCUGGAUCAACACAACGAAAGCACAGAAAGUGGACAAACAGAAGGAGAACAACUAUGAAGGCUCAUGAAAACUCAUGAUUUAAAGAUCACAUUUCUCCACCUGGACUGAUUUAAGAAUUGAGGUUAGUUGACUACUAUUAGCAAGACUUGCAAUUAUGGCAUGCAGGCACAUCCUCUUCUGUUCACUUGAGUUAUUUCUGUAUAGCAGUAGAUCAUGAGGACAUGGACAAAGGCAUUGCACCUACUUUCUCCUUGAGCAAUUUCCAUUGAUGUCUGUGAUGCUGAUACUGAAUUACAGAAUCCCGAGGAUUCUGUAUUGUUGUAGUUCUAAACCUUUUGCUGUGGAGGUUAGCCUGUGGAUAGGAAGAGUCAAACAAGAACAACUUAUACAGUUUCUCUGGCUAGAAAAUGAACAAUACAUGCUUCCUGUCCUUAUGAUGUUCCCACAUGUGGAUGGUGAAGCAGGCACCAAGAUGACUAAGCUAGAACAACAAGAUUUGGUGAAUCCAGAGCUGACGAAUAACAGUUCAUCUGGCAUGGAAGCAAAGGAAGAAGUUCCAGGGAAGGCAAAGGCCCAAAUUUGUGAAUCUGUGUGCCAUGUGCUGGGGAAAAUUGAAACCUUCCAAUGAACUAGAAUGAAUGUUGUGUGUAUGGGAAGCCUAUGGACUCAAUGAGAAGAAUAAUUAGUGAAUGUGUCCAUGUUGUCUAUAUUUUACAUGGGUCAGAAGGAAGGAUUGAGUGCAGAAGACAAAAUGUUAAUCGGAAGUGGGGUCAUUUUCAUAUUUAGGCUUAAACAAGAAUAUAGACAUUACUAUUAAAGCAUAGAAAUAAAAAAAUGAUGAUAUUUUUAAGUGUCAUAACUUCUAACUAUUUGCCAUCAUAUUUUUGGUUUACUCCCUUUCAAAUACACUUAAGCGUAAGUGUAGCCUAGAAGAGAGCAAGACCCAAUAUUUGGCUAGUUCAGGGAGUGACUUACAAGCAAAGCAGUUCCACCCAUGACCAAUUUCUUAAAUUUCUGGAGCAACCCAAGUAGCAAGACUGGGAAAAUAUGACUGAAUUUGCAAAAAAUCAAGUCACUUCUUUGGAAAGAUGUUAAACUCCAAAGAUCAAUGUAUAGACCUUUCCACUUAGCUUACAACUAGAUAAAACAUUCUUUUGACAUGAAAUGGCUUAGGACAAAUGCUUUAACAAAAGAACUGAUUAAACACUGCUGUUACUAAAGCCUCACAAUAGUUAAUGCACUUAAAGAGUUCUAAAUCGGCUGAGCAUUGACGUCUUAAAGGAUUAUAUUGAGUGUCACCAUAUACACAGGAAAGUCUCCUUCAAAACCUACUAUGGAGUAUAAUGGACUAUACAUGUUAUUGUAAACAAAUUGGCAAGAUUCGAGGUUUUCUCUGGAUUCUAGCAUCUUUAAAAAGAGAAUGUCUGUUGUUUUAUAAAAGCAUUUAUUUACAUCUUUAUCAGGUAUCCUCCAGUCCCAAAUGUGAGAGGUUAGGGCAAUCUGUGGAUUGGGGUGGCUUUCUCUUCUAAGUCACUCCCAGACUAGGGAAGUGACUCAGAAGAGUCACUGAGUGGGGAAACACAGAACCAGGGAUGGCUCUGUAGCUCUGACCUAACUUAAAGCUCCAGAUUGGUCUGACCUUUUCUCACUUUGCGAUUCAGACCUGAAAAAAAUGAGGCCAAAGUUGGCUCAUCUUCCUCCCUUGAAAAUGUUCUAAGGAGAUGAACCACAUCCUGUCCUAUCUCCCCCAAACCAUACCUCAGCACAGGGGCUUGUUUCAUUGGUACAAGAAUAAGUUGUCUUUCUUUUGCUAGAAAGCUCACAACUUUAAAACCUACAAAAAAUGAAUGAAUUAUAAUCUAGAACUUCAGAUAUCUGUAUCAUAAUAGUUGGAUAUGCUUAUGGAGUAUGAUAUGAUCUUUUGCAGCAAAAUCUCACUUUGUACUCAACAAAUACAUACAAUUAUUAUUUGAAAGUUCAAUUAAUUAGUUUAAAAAUCUGUAGAAAUAUCAGUGUCUUCUGGGGAGGAAAUUAUUACGUGCAUGUCAAGAUUUGCCAAAAUUUUAAUACUUUGUUACCCUAUGUCACUUUUGUGAAGUGAUUAUAGGGAUAUUUUUCUAAAUAUAGAGUUUAUCAUAAGGAAGUUUUGUUAACAAUAGAAUCUUAAAAGUGCACUAGGAUAUUCAUUGCAAUUUUGUUUUUAAAAGUAAAAAAACAUUGGCUGGAUGUGGUGGCUUAUGCUUGUAAUCCCAGAACUUUGGGAAUCUGAGGUAGGCAAAUCACUUGAGGCUUGAAGUUCGAGACCAGCCUGGCCAACAUGGUGAAACCCCGUCUCUACUAAAAAUACAAAAAUUAGCUGGGUGUGGUGGUAGGCACCUGUAAUCCAGGUAUGUGGGAGGCUGAGACACGAGGAUCACUUGAACCAAGGAGGUGGAGGUUGCAGUGAGCCGGGAUUGCAGUGAGCCACGGCACUCCACCCUGGGCAACAGAGCAAGACUCCAUGUCAAGGAAGAAAGGAAGGAAGGAAGGCGAGAGAGAGAGAGAGAAAGAAAGAGAGAGAUAAAGAAGAAAGAAAAGAGAAAGAGUAAAAGAAAGAGAAAGAAAGAGAAAGAAGAAAGAAAGAGAAAGAAGAAAGAAGAAAGAAAAGAGAAAGUAAAAGAAAGAGAGAGAAAGAAA
rnacentral:lncRNA from 1 species